rnacentral:rRNA from 1 species
UACGAAGGGUGCAAGCGUUACUCGGAAUUACUGGGCGUAAAGCGCGCGCAGGCGGCUAUCCAAGUCAGUGGUGAAAGCCCGGAGCUCAACUCCGGAACUGCCAUUGAAACUGUUUAGCUUGAGGACGAGAGAGGUGAGUGGAAUUCCCAGUGUAGAGGUGAAAUUCGUAGAUAUUGGGAAGAACACCGGUGGCGAAGGCGGCUCACUGGCUCGUUUCUGACGCUCAGGCGCGACAGCGUGGGGAUCAAACAGG